rnacentral:rRNA from 1 species
GAUGAACGCUAGCGAUAGGCUUAACACAUGCAAGUCGAGCGACCGGCGCACGGGUGCGUAAUGCGUAUGCAACCUGCCUGUAAUUAGGGAACAACCCGGUGAAUGUCGGACUCAUACCCUAUAAUUCCAGAUGGGCAUGCGUCCCAUUAGCUAUUUGGUAAGGUAACGGCUUACCAAGGCGACGAUGGGUAGGGGGACUGACGGGUUGACCCCCCAGACAGGUACUGAGACACGAAACAGACUCCUACGGGAGGCAGCGGUGAGGAAUAUUGGUCGAUGGGCGAGAGCCUGAACCAGCCAAGUCGCGUGAAGGAGGACUGUUUAUGGAUUGUAAACUUCUUUUGGAGAGGAAUAGGUACUCUACGAAUAAGUAUCGGCUAACUCCGUGCCAGCAGCCGCGGUAAUUC